GAGGAUGAUGAUGAGGCGACCGGUUCUGAGGCCGGUAGUGAGGAGGAGUCUUGAGCCCUUUGUGGGUUAAGUUUUUGUUUUUUGAAUUUCAGUUUUUAUUAUAUGGCAUUUUUAAUUGUACUUUUGAAUUUUGUAUUUUGACCAUGGGUUGUACUAUUGGGGUGUUUUGUCCCCCACGAACAAAAUUUUAUUUUUCAGUUAAUGUUAUUUUUGUUUGUUGGUAAUUUUGUGUGUUUAAUAAAUUUUUGGUUGAAUGAGUGGCAAACCCUUCUAGAUUGGUUGCUCCUCAAGAAGUACCCAAUGAAGGUGCAUCCGAGCUUGGAUGGCAAUGAUAAGAAUAACAAGUGAAUG
rnacentral:lncRNA from 1 species